rnacentral:rRNA from 1 species
UACGGAGGGUGCGAGCGUUAAUCGGAAUUACUGGGCGUAAAGCGCACGCAGGCGGUCUGUUAAGCAAGAUGUGAAAGCCCCGGGCUCAACCUGGGAACUGCAUUUUGAACUGGCAGGCUAGAGUCUUGGAGAGGGGAGUGGAAUUCCAGGUGUAGCGGUGAAAUGCGUAGAGAUCUGGAGGAACAUCAGUGGCGAAGGCGGCUCCCUGGGCCAAAAGACCUGACGCUCAUGUGCGAAAGUGUGGGUAGCGAAACAGGAUUUAGAUACCCCGGUAGUCC